GACGAACGCUGGCGGCGUGCUUAACACAUGCAAGUCGAGCGGUAAGGCCCUUUCGGGGGUACACGAGCGGCGAACGGGUGAGUAACACGUGGGUGACCUGCCCUCAGCUCUGGGAUAAGCCUGGGAAACCGGGUCUAAUACUGGAUAUGACUCCAUGACGCAUGUUGUGGGGUGGAAAGCCUUGUGCGGCUGAGGAUGGGCCCGCGGCCUAUCAGCUUGUUGGUGGGGUGANGGCCUACCAAGGCGACGACGGGUAGCCGGCCUGAGAGGGCGACCGGCCACACUGGAACUGAGACACGGCCCAGACUCCUACGGGAGGCAGCAGUGGGGAAUCUUGCGCAAUGGGCGAAAGCCUGACGCAGCGACGCCGCGUGAGGGAUGACGGCCUCGGUU
rnacentral:rRNA from 1 species